GAUGAACGCUGGCGGCGUGCCUAAUACAUGCAAGUCGAGCGAACGGACGAGAAGCUUGCUUCUCUGAUGUUAGCGGCGGACGGGUGAGUAACACGUGGAUAACCUACCUAUAAGACUGGGAUAACUUCGGGAAACCGGAGCUAAUACCGGAUAAUAUUUUGAACCGCAUGGUUCAAAAGUGAAAGACGGUCUUGCUGUCACUUAUAGAUGGAUCCGCGCUGCAUUAGCUAGUUGGUAAGGUAACGGCUUACCAAGGCAACGAUGCAUAGCCGACCUGAGAGGGUGAUCGGCCACACUGGAACUGAGACACGGUCCAGACUCCUACGGGAGGCAGCAGUAGGGAAUCUUCCGCAAUGGGCGAAAGCCUGACGGAGCAACGCCGCGUGAGUGAUGAAGGUCUUCGGAUCGUAAAACUCUGUUAUCAGGGAAGAACAUAUGUGUAAGUAACUGUGCACAUCUUGACGGUACCUAAUCAGAAAGCCACGGCUAACUACGUGCCAGCAGCCGCGGUAAUACGUAGGUGGCAAGCGUUAUCCGGAAUUAUUGGGCGUAAAGCGCGCGUAGGCGGUUUUUUAAGUCUGAUGUGAAAGCCCACGGCUCAACCGUGGAGGGUCAUUGGAAACUGGAAAACUUGAGUGCAGAAGAGGAAAGUGGAAUUCCAUGUGUAGCGGUGAAAUGCGCAGAGAUAUGGAGGAACACCAGUGGCGAAGGCGACUCUCUGGUCUGUAACUGACGCUGAUGUGCGAAAGCGUGGGGAUCAAACAGGAUUAGAUACCCUGGUAGUCCACGCCGUAAACGAUGAGUGCUAAGUGUUAGGGGGUUUCCGCCCCUUAGUGCUGCAGCUAACGCAUUAAGCACUCCGCCUGGGGAGUACGACCGCAAGGUUGAAACUCAAAGGAAUUGACGGGGACCCGCACAAGCGGUGGAGCAUGUGGUUUAAUUCGAAGCAACGCGAAGAACCUUACCAAAUCUUGACAUCCUUUGACAACUCUAGAGAUAGAGCUUUCCCCUUCGGGGGACAAAGUGACAGGUGGUGCAUGGUUGUCGUCAGCUCGUGUCGUGAGAUGUUGGGUUAAGUCCCGCAACGAGCGCAACCCUUAAGCUUAGUUGCCAUCAUUAAGUUGGGCACUCUAAGUUGACUGCCGGUGACAAACCGGAGGAAGGUGGGGAUGACGUCAAAUCAUCAUGCCCCUUAUGAUUUGGGCUACACACGUGCUACAAUGGACAAUACAAAGGGCAGCGAAACCGCGAGGUCAAGCAAAUCCCAUAAAGUUGUUCUCAGUUCGGAUUGUAGUCUGCAACUCGACUACAUGAAGCUGGAAUCGCUAGUAAUCGUAGAUCAGCAUGCUACGGUGAAUACGUUCCCGGGUCU
rnacentral:rRNA from 1 species